UACGUAGGGUGCAAGCGUUGUCCGGAAUUAUUGGGCGUAAAGAGCUCGUAGGCGGUCUGUCGCGUCUGCUGUGAAAACUCAGGGCUUAACCCUGAGCUUGCAGUGGGUACGGGCAGACUAGAGUGCGGUAGGGGAGACUGGAAUUCCUGGUGUAGCGGUGAAAUGCGCAGAUAUCAGGAGGAACACCGGUGGCGAAGGCGGGUCUCUGGGCCUUACCUGACGCUGAGGCGCGAAAGCUAGGGGAGCAAACAGG
rnacentral:rRNA from 1 species